AGUUAAUCAGUUUAAGAUGUCAUGAAACAUUUAAUAGGAAGUCACUGGCUCCAUCACUGAGUGGUUCUUUGGUCCCAGCUGCAGGUUGAUUGAUGGCAUCACAUCGAAGAACACUCUGGGGGGAGCUGUUUAUCCCCAUCUUCCAUCUGGAGCUGCUGGGACAGAGUUCACUGUGAUGAUGGCUACUGAAUGAGCUGCACUGGCAGGACUUCUGUGACAAGGAAGGAUUGUGGCUAGGAAGCCAGGCCCGAAUCAAAGGAUGUCAAGGAAAUGAAUGGAGCUAAGCAGGAAACAGCCAACUCUUCUCAAACAUGAUGGGGCAGCAAUUCAAAAAGAAAGAUGGUGCACAGCUUUUAAAACUACAAAAUGGGAGAAUAUUAUGUUCCUUUGUUCUUUCACUUACAGAGGUUACUUUAUAGAUAUGUGUUUCAGAUCAAAUAAA
rnacentral:lncRNA from 1 species